GAUGAACGCCGACAGAAUGCUUAACACAUGCAAGUCUACUUGAAGCUAACUUCGGUUAGUGGAUGGUGGCGGACGGGUGAGUAACGCGUAAAGAACUUGCCUCACAGUUUGGGACAACAUUUGGAAACGAAUGCUAAUACCGGAUAUUAUGAUACUUCCGCAUGGAAGAAUCAUGAAAGCUAUAUGCGCUGUGAGAGAGCUUUGCGUCCCAUUAGCUAGUUGGAGAGGUAACGGCUCACCAAGGCGAUGAUGGGUAGCCGGCCUGAGAGGGUGAACGGCCACAAGGGGACUGAGACACGGCCCUUACUCCUACGGGAGGCAGCAGUGGGGAAUAUUGGACAAUGGACCAAAAGUCUGAUCCAGCAAUUCUGUGUGCACGAUGAAGUUUUUCGGAAUGUAAAGUGCUUUCAGUUGGGAAGAAGCAAGUGACGGUACCAACAGAAGAAGCGACGGCUAAAUACGUGCCAGCAGCCGCGGUAAUACGUAUGUCGCAAGCGUUAUCCGGAUUUAUUGGGCGUAAAGCGCGUCUAGGUGGUUAUAUAAGUCUGAUGUGAAAAUGCGGGGCUCAACUCCGUAUUGCGUUGGAAACUGUAUGACUAGAGUACUGGAGAGGUAAGCGGAACUACAAGUGUAGAGGUGAAAUUCGUAGAUAUUUGUAGGAAUGCCGAUGGGGAAGCCAGCUUACUGGACAGAUACUGACGCUAAAGCGCGAAAGCGUGGGUAGCAAACAGG
rnacentral:rRNA from 1 species